AGGAUGAACGCUGGCGGCGUGCCUAACACAUGCAAGUCGAGCGAUCUUCUUCGGAAGAGAGCGGCGGACGGGUGAGUAACGCGUGGGUAACCUGCCCUGUACACACGGAUAACAUACCGAAAGGUAUGCUAAUACGAGAUAAUAUGCUUUUAUCGCAUGGUAGAAGUAUCAAAGCUUUUGCGGUACAGGAUGGACCCGCGUCUGAUUAGCUAGUUGGUAAGGUAACGGCUUACCAAGGCGACGAUCAGUAGCCGACCUGAGAGGGUGAUCGGCCACAUUGGAACUGAGACACGGUCCAAACUCCUACGGGAGGCAGCAGUGGGGAAUAUUGCACAAUGGGCGAAAGCCUGAUGCAGCAACGCCGCGUGAGCGAUGAAGGCCUUCGGGUCGUAAAGCUCUGUCCUCAAGGAAGAUAAUGACGGUACUUGAGGAGGAAGCCCCGGCUAACUACGUGCCAGCAGCCGC
rnacentral:rRNA from 1 species